UACGUAGGGUCCGAGCGUUGUCCGGAAUUAUUGGGCGUAAAGGGCUCGUAGGCGGUUUGUCGCGUCGGGAGUGAAAACUCAGGGCUCAACCCUGAGCGUGCUUCCGAUACGGGCAGACUAGAGGUAUGCAGGGGAGAACGGAAUUCCUGGUGUAGCGGUGGAAUGCGCAGAUAUCAGGAGGAACACCGGUGGCGAAGGCGGUUCUCUGGGCAGUAACUGACGCUGGAGGAGCGAAAGCGUGGGGAGCGAACAGG
rnacentral:rRNA from 1 species